CCCGACGGAGCAAUACCGCGUGAGGGAGGAAGGUUCUUGGAUUGUAAACCUCUUUUUUAGGGGRAUAAAAAAAUGAAGGUACCCUAGGAAUAAGCAUCGGCUAACUCCGUGCCAGCAGCCGCGGUAAUACGGAGGAKGCAAGCGUUAUCCGGAAUUAUUGGGCGUAAAGAGUCCGUAGGUGGAARUUCAAGUCUGUCGUUAAAGAAUGGAGCUUAACUCCAUAGAGGCGGUGGAAACUGAACAACUAGAGUGCGGUAGGGGUARCGGGAAUUCCCAGUGUAGCGGUGAAAUGCGUAGAUAUUUGGGAAGAACAUCGGUG
rnacentral:rRNA from 1 species